rnacentral:rRNA from 1 species
GAUGAACGCUGGCGGCGUGCCUAAUACAUGCAAGUCGAGCGAACAGACGAGGAGCUUGCUCCUCUGACGUUAGCGGCGGACGGGUGAGUAACACGUGGAUAACCUACCUAUAAGACUGGGAUAACUUCGGGAAACCGGAGCUAAUACCGGAUAAUAUAUUGAACCGCAUGGUUCAAUAGUGAAAGACGGUUUUGCUGUCACUUAUAGAUGGAUCCGCGCCGCAUUAGCUAGUUGGUAAGGUAACGGCUUACCAAGGCAACGAUGCGUAGCCGACCUGAGAGGGUGAUCGGCCAAACUGGAACUGAGACACGGUCCAGACUCCUACGGGAGGCAGCAGUAGGGAAUCCUCCGCAAUGGGCGAAAGCCUGACGGAGCAACGCCGCGUGAGUGAUGAAGGUCUUCGGAUCGUAAAACUCUGUUAUUAGGGAAGAACAAAUGUGUAAGUAACUAUGCACGUCUUGACGGUACCUAAUAAGAAAGCCACGGCUAACUACGUG